AGACCUUCUAUGUGUUUCUUUGUCUCUUUCUCUUUACUAUAGCCUCAUAUCCAUCGUGGCUCAUUUCCUGCUUAGUGCUCUGCCCAUCUGGCCAUUGCAACCCACACCCCAAGUCUCCAUGAAAAAGAACCAUCCAGCCUACAAAACUCAGAGGAAGAUGGAAUAA
rnacentral:lncRNA from 1 species